GCCCAGACUCCUACGGGAGGCAGCAGUGGGGAAUAUUGCACAAUGGGGGAAACCCUGAUGCAGCGACGCCGCGUGGGUGAAGGAGCGUUUCGGCGCGUAAAGCCCUCUCGGCAGGGAAGAAGGAGGACGGUACCUGACUAAGAAGCCCCGGCUAACUACGUGCCAGCAGCCGCGGUAAUACGUAGGGGGCAAGCGUUAUCCGGAUUUACUGGGGGUAAAGGGAGCGUAGACGGCAGCGCAAGUCUGAAGUGAAAUGCCGGGGCUUAACCCCGGAACUGCUUUGGAACUGCGCGGCUGGAGUGCAGGAGGGGCAGGCGGAAUUCCUGGUGUAGCGGUGAAAUGCGUAGAUAUCAGGAGGAACACCGGUGGCGAAGGCGGCCUGCUGGACUGCGACUGACGUUGAGGCCCGAAAGCGUGGGGAGCAAACAGGAUUAGAUACCCUCGUA
rnacentral:rRNA from 1 species